CCCUUAGAGUUUGAUCCUGGCUCAGAAUGAACGCUGGCGGCGUGCCUUACACAUGCAAGUCGAGCGAGGAGGCCCGCAAGGGUCAUUCGAGCGGCGAACGGGUGAGUAACGCGUGGAUAACCUACCCAGAGGUGGGGGAUAACCCGGGGAAACUCGGGCUAAUACCGCAUGAUACCGAGAGGUCAAAGGGGGCUCGCAAGGGCUCUCGCCAUAGGAGGGGUCCGCGUCCGAUUAGCUAGUUGGUAGGGUAAUGGCCUACCAAGGCGACGAUCGGUAGCCGGCCUGAGAGAGUGAUCGGCCACACUGGAACUGAGACACGGUCCAGACUCCUACGGGAGGCAGCAGUGGGGAAUUUUGCGCAAUGGGCUAACGCCUGACGCAGCAACGCCGCGUGGAGGAUGAAGGUCUUUGGAUUGUAAACUCCUGUCAGCAGGGAAAAAGCGACUCGGUCUAACACACCGGGGAGUUGAUUGUACCUGCAGAGGAAGCCCCGGCUAACUCUGUGCCAGCAGCCGCGGUAAUACAGAGGGGGCAAGCGUUAUUCGGAAUUAUUGGGCGUAAAGGGCGCGUAGGCGGCUUGGCAAGUGGAUGGUGAAAUCCCUCGGCUUAACCGAGGAACUGCCGUCCAAACUGCUUUGCUUGAGACCAGGAGAGGUGAGUGGAAUUCCCAGUGUAGCGGUGAAAUGCGUAGAUAUUGGGAGGAACACCAGUGGC
rnacentral:rRNA from 1 species